rnacentral:rRNA from 1 species
UGGGGAAUAUUGCACAAUGGACGGAAGUUUGAUGCAGCGACGCCGCGUGGAGGGUCUAGGCCUUCGGGUUGUGAACUCCUUUUUCUCGCGAAAAAGGCACAGUUUUGGCUGUGUUGAUGGUAGUGGGGGAAGAAGCGCCGGCUAACUACGUGCCAGCAGCCGCGGUAAUACGUAGGGCGCGAGCGUUGUCCGGAUUUAUUGGGCGUAAAGAGCUCGUAGGUGGUUCGUCGCGUCUGUCGUGAAAGCCAGCAGCUUAACUGUUGGUCUGCGGUGGGUACGGGCGGGCUUGAGUGCGGUAGGGGUGACUGGAAUUCCUGGUGUAGCGGUGGAAUGCGCAGAUAUCAGGAGGAACACCGAUGGCGAAGGCAGGUCACUGGGCCGUUACUGACACUGAGGAGCGAAAGCGUGGGGAGCGAACAGG